rnacentral:sRNA from 1 species
UGCCGCAAAAUCGGCACACGGGAUUGGCGUCCCGGAAUACUACUCAACGCAUACCGCGUUAAGCGGUUUUUUU